GCUGCACGUGAAAUUUGUGUCGUAGUACCUCGUCACGUGGCAUGUUAGAACAUUCAUUUGAGGGAAACACCUGAAUAUGGAAGGUUCGGACAGCGAUCGUGAAUUAUUCAUUACACGGUCUUAUUUGCGAGCAACCAGGUCAUCGCAGUGAAGCCGUUCGUGUGUACAAGACGUCUUCAGAUGAGCAAAGGGCAUCAGUUUCCGAUCUAUUAAGCGCAAUCCCCGACAGAAAAAGAAAAGUUGGUUCAGAACUAACUGUUCAAACUCUUGAAACGGAAGGAAAUGAUUCGGAUAGCUCGGAAAAGUGCAAAGAAAAACGAUAUUUUGUGACUAUCAACUGAAAUAAAGAAUUGUUGAAA